rnacentral:rRNA from 1 species
UGGGGAAUAUUGCGCAAUGGGCGAAAGCCUGACGCAGCGACGCCGCGUGAACGAUGAAGUCUUUAGGGAUGUAAAGUUCUUUCAGUAGGGACGAUAAUGACGGUACCUACAGAAGAAGCCCCGGCUAAUUACGUGCCAGCAGCCGCGGUAAUACGUAAGGGGCGAGCGUUAUCCGGAUUUACUGGGCAUAAAGGGCGCGUAGGUGGUUAUUUAAGUCAGGUGUUAAAGGCAGUAGCUCAACUACUGUAUGCACUUGAUACUGAAUAACUUGAGAUCAGGAGAGGAAAGCGGAACUCACAGUGUAGCGGUGAAAUGCGUAGAUAUUGUGAGGAACACCAGUUGCGAAGGCGGCUUUCUGGACUGAUUCUGACACUGAGGCGCGAAAGCAUGGGGAGCAAACGGG